GACGAACGCUGGCGGUGUGCUCAACACAUGCAAGUCGAACGGAAAGGCCCUGCUUUUGUGGGGUGCUCGAGUGGCGAACGGGUGAGUAACACGUGAGUAACCUGCCCUCGACUUUGGGAUAACUUCAGGAAACUGGGGCUAAUACCGGAUAGGAGCUCCUGCUGCAUGGUGGGGGUUGGAAAGUCUCGGCGGUUGGGGAUGGACUUGCGGCUUAUCAGCUUGUUGGUGGGGUAGUGGCUUACCAAGGCUUUGACGGGUAGCCGGCCUGAGAGGGUGACCGGCCACAUUGGGACUGAGAUACGGCACAGAGUCCUACCGGAGGCAGGAGUGGGGUAUAUUGCACAAUAGGCGGAAGCCUGAUGCAGCAACGCCGCGUGCGGGAUGACGGCCUUCGGGUUGUAAACCGCUUUCGCCUGUGACGAAGCGUGUGUGACGGUAAUGGGUAAAGAAGCACCGGCUAACUACGUG
rnacentral:rRNA from 1 species